rnacentral:rRNA from 1 species
AUGGAGUACUCGCCGAAGAUAGCAGCACUGCUGCUCUUAGCUCUCGCGUCCGCCAUGGUGGUCGUCACGGCGCAGAACUCGCCGCAGGACUUCGUGGACCCCCACAACGCUGCGCGCGCCGACAUGGGCGUCGGGCCGGUGACCUGGGACGACAACGUGGCUGCGUACGCGCAGAACUACGCGGAGCAGCGCCGCGGCGACUGCCAGCUGGUACAUUCGGGCGGGCAGUACGGGGAGAACAUCUACGGAGGCCGCGGCGGCGGGGCCGACUGGACGGCGGCGGACGCCGUGCAAGCGUGGGUCUCGGAGAAGCAGUACUACGACCACGGCAGCAACAGCUGCUCGGCGCCGGCGGACAAGUCGUGCUUGCACUACACGCAGGUGGUGUGGCGCGACUCGACGGCCAUCGGCUGCGCCCGCGUCGUCUGCGACGGCGGCGACGGCCUGUUCAUCAUCUGCAGCUACAACCCGCCGGGCAACUACGAGGGGGUGAGCCCAUACUAG